ACGAGCGCCCCAUGCGGAAGCAGGGCCCGGCGCGCGCGCGCCUGCCCACCCGCCUCGGGUCCUGUCUCGCUCCCCUUCCCUCAGACCCCACACGGCUGUUGGCUUCUUGUAAACUUUAAUCCUCUGACUCCAAUCUGGACCAAGAAACUGCUGUCCUGGGAUGUCCCUCCACUGCUCUGCUGAACUGGAUCAUCUCUUUUUAAAUCCCUCAUUUCACCUGUACUGGGCCUUCGAUCAGGACACGGGACCAGCUGGACGAGCAGCAAAUGGAGAUGAGGACAACCGGAAGCAGCAGCAGCUAACCUCCUCCUUCACGUGGGAAACAAACGCAGGCUGAAAAGCCACCUGCCCAGGGCGACUUGGCAAGGAAGGGCAGAGCGGAGACGUGACUCCCUGCUGACUCCAGAAGCUGCCCUCUCACUCACCCUUCUGCCCCCACUGCCUGGAAGGGAGCUUCAUCAAGCUAUUUCAUCUAAGGAGUAGCUUUCAGCAAUGAGGGUGAAAAGGGAAAAGAGGCAGCUUGGACAUGGACAUGAAACAUCUGAACAGGGGACAAGCCCCCCAGCAGGUAUGAGGAGAAACAGACCAGUGCCUCCAAUGUUCAGGUCACAACCCAGCAGUGGAGUCACGUCACUAACUCUGACAGGAUGCAACCAACACGUUUCUUUAAAAGAUAAAGAAACAGAAUAUAAAAUACUAGUAUAUACUGCCUGUAGAAAAGAUAAAUUACUGUUUCAUCGAA